rnacentral:rRNA from 1 species
GAUUUUGUUGAGAAGGGUCAGACGCAAGUCUACCUGAAACGGUCGCUAGUGCAGAUCUUGGUGGUAGUAGCAAAUAUUUAAGCGAGAUCCUUAAAGGUCGAAGCGGGGAAGGGUUCCACGCGAACAUUGAUUGGGCGUGGGUGASUCGUUCCUAAGCCGGGUGGUAAUCGUUCUAACGAUCGGCGAAAGGGAAGUUGGUUAAAAUUCCAACACACGGAUGUGGAGGCGGUGACGCAAAUUGAGGUGGAGACGUUAGCGGUGACACUGGGCAGAGUUUUCUUUUCUGUUUAACCUGUGCUGCACUCUGUGGAAUCCGAUUAUCGGGAGAAACAGGUGCUUAUGGGAAGAGCGUCGGGGGGUCCCCGGCGUCCAGUACGUCACCGAUAGCCCUUGAAAAUCCAUCUGCAAUAUAAUUUCACGCCGUGGCGUACCGAUAACCGCAGCAGGUCCCCAAGGUGAACAGCCUCUGAUCAAUAUGAACAAUGCAGGUAAGGGAAGUCGGCAAAAUAGACCCGUAACUUUGGGAAAAGGGUUGGCUCUAGUGGGGUGAAGGAACACACUGGGCUGUAGUGAUUUGGUGCGGGCGGACUGUCAGAGUUAAAUUGUGGCAACAUGAUUUCGGCUUUGAUGGAUCACCGUGCUGAGUUGUUAUGGUCCGACCUUCAACAUGCUCCAAACUAGAACUGCAACGGGCAAAGGGAAUCCGACUGUUUAAUUAAAACAAAGCAUUGCGAUGGCCGAGGUCGGUGUAGACGCAAUGUGAUUUCUGCUCAGUGCUCUGAAUGUCAAAGUGAAGAGA